ACAAGCAAUACUAUGUAGUCGCUCUAGGCCAUAGCACCGUGAGAACAAUGCUGCACCGCAGCUCCUCCACAAAAACAGCAAAAAAACAAUACAACAACAACGUUGAAUGGCCAGCACCGCAGAACCGGUUCACCACUCCGCAAUGCCGCAGCUUGAACCUUUCAAAAAUCACACGCAGACAGAAAACCGUGGAAAGUAGC
rnacentral:lncRNA from 1 species